rnacentral:rRNA from 1 species
AUGGACACCGGCGAAGAAUCAGCGACGGCGGCGGGGGCGGGGGCGGCAGUGGCGAUGGAGCUGGACUUCUCGCGCGGCGGCGUGGUGCCCAGCUUCGACUUCGCGUUCGAUUCGGCCACCUUCUCCGACAGGGUGCUGCGGAUAGAGAUCGUCGGCGGCGGCCCCGCGCCGGGAUCUUGCGGAGGAUCUUCUGCCAACCAGGAGCGCCGCCGCGAGGAGCAAGGUGAGAAAGAACAGAGUGUUGACUCUUCAUCGAUGAUGGUGGGUACACCAGUUUUACGAGAAAAAAACAUUCAUAUCAAUUCAGCGAUUCUUGCUUCAAGAAGUCCUUUCUUUCUAAAGUUUUUCUCAAAUGGCAUGAAAGAAUCUGAUCAGACGAAUCCAACAAUUAGGAUUACUGAUUCAGAGGAAAAUGCUUUUAUGGAGCUCUUAAGCUAUAUGUACAGUGGAAAGUUGACUACAGCUGAGCCCACUCGUCUGCUCGACAUCUUGAUGGCUGCAGACAAGUUCGAGGUUCUUUCUUGCAUGAGGCAUUGCAGUCAGCUGCUCAUAAGCUUGCCUAUGACCACAGAAUCUGCACUGCUCUACAUAGACCAUCCUUGUUCUGUUUCAAUGGUCAAUGAAGUUCGGCCUUUGAUAGAUGCAUCCAAGGAAUUCCUUGCCAACAAGUACAAGGAUUUUUAUGAGUUUAAAAGUGAGCUGAUGAACAUUUCUCUUGCUGGGAUAGAAGCCAUAUUUUCAAGUACUGACAUACAAGUGGAAACUGAAGAUGACGUAUAUUACUUCAUGCUUGACUGGGCCCGUGCACGAUACGUAGAAUUGGAGGAAAGACGUAAGAUCUUGAGUUCUCGUUUACUUCCUCUGGUACGCUUCAGUCAUAUGACGUGUAUGACACUUCAGGAGAUAUUAGCAAGCACUGAUAAUGAUAUAGAUCGCGAGCAAGUAACUCAUCGUAUUGCUGAGGCACUUCUACCCAAGGCUUACCCGAAGCAGUUGGAAGGUGCUCUUGCAGCAGAGGUAACAACUUGUUCGCGAUUUGCUGAGCGAGCAUACGAGUACAAACCUGUGAAAUUGGUUGCCUUUGAUCAACCCUGCCCACAGAUUAUAGUUUACUUGGAUCUAACACGCGAUGAGUGCUCCCAACUCUUCCCGUCUGGGCGUAUAUGCCCGCACCCAUUCCGGCUUCUAGGAUGGGGCUUUUAUCUGAUGGCAACCUGUGAAAUGGAUGAGCAGAGUAAGUUGUGCAGCUUUGGCCUCUGGUUAGGAGUCGCCAAAAAUAUGAAGGGAUCAUCAUGUUUCAUGGUAGAUUACGAGUUUGCCGCAAGGAAAAGAUCGUCAGGAAAGUUUGUGCGCAAAUUGGAGGGUAAGAUCUCCACCACUGACGAGACACAUGGAUGCAGUGAUCUAUUUGGCAUUCCAUGGUCGACGUUCAUUGCCAACGACAACCUCUUCAUCAACGGCGUGCUGCAUCUGAGAGCUGAUUUGAGGGUGUUGCUGGGGCAGCCAAAACUACAAGCUUGA